GGAGAGGGGAGCGGCGCCGCCGGCCACCGAACAGGACUAGGUGGUCGUCGCGCGUAAUGCGCUGUUGAUCGGUAGGUGUAGCGAGUAGCGAGGUGUCGCGCGUGUGUUAGGAGUAGAACCCGUGUGUCGGAGACAAAGUCAGCGCGCUCCGUGUGUCAUAGCAUUCCGAGAUCUCCCAUUUUGUUCGCAAUAAAAUGUGCUGCGUGGAUUGUCGUAUUGCCACUUGAUUUACUCCACUCGCCCGACUCGCUUUGACGUCGAGAGAUCAAGAUAUCAAACUCGACUGUCGAAUAAAUUUUUGUGCCAGCCCACACGAACGCUUAGGCAAUCGACUGCCGAAGAUUUAUCGUCAAAAUUUCCCGUUAGUAACGCUUACCGAGCACACUCCGCGUAUCACUAUUUCACAAAUAAAAGAACCAGUCGCGAUAUCAUCGUCGACUAUAAAUUAUAUGAUGCUCGUAUGAAAAAUACACGUUUCGAUGUCCGCUUAUUUAUCGCUUAGCCUGAGUUAUGUAUGCGUUAUGUUAAUCCCGCUUGUUAUUAAAUAGACGUUUCUAUUAAUAUUAAUUAGCUUCUGUCAAUAUUUUAUGAAAAUUUCAACGAUAUGUAAGAAUAUUUUGAGGUCGUGCUCGGAUUGAGAUAUCCGAGGGCGUGUAUGGGCGUCGCGUCGUGUCGUCGCAGUGGCACAGCGUAUCGCGCUAGCUGAUCUGCUAUCGGCUGAAUCGGGACGGUGGCUGCUCCACACUAGGAAUAGGUAGAGUUCCCGCGUUGUUCUGCCGCGUGAUAUAUCGUUCCGCAUCUCCCUGUAUAAAUCUUGAACGCCUGCUGAGGUACACGGGACAUGGCCGCGCCGCAGCCUCGAGCUUCAAAUGGAAUUGUGUUUUUAUUUAUCGUGCGAAUUGUGCCCCACUAUCCCUCACUCGGUAUCGCAGUUUAUCUGCCAAAACGCGCAGUUGGAUCGAUGCAAAUUUACCUCUAAGUUGCUUUGCCUGAUACUUGAAUAAAAUACUGUUCUUAUAAACUAUAAAUACUAAUAUGGCAUUGAUAGUGCAAUUCAACACUUUUUCAUUAGAUAACUUUAUAAAUCAGCGUUGUAGCUGUAGAUAAACUGGAACAGUAUUUUAUGUUACAGUAAAAUAAUGUUAGGGUUAGAGGACAUAGUGAAAAAUGUACAAAUACGAAUAUAUUGAUCGUAGUCUUUACUUGCCACGAUUGUUUCCUAAGUGGUUUCAUUGAUAAGUAGUGGGGACAAAGUAAAUGGGUGACACGUUUACUGCAUCGUUUUAAUCAAACGGUCUUUAAUAUAUUUUUAAUUUAUAUGAGGUCUAAAAGGCCUUAGGCAGGUAGGAUUCUUCUGUCUUUUUAUCGUGGUUUUUUAUAGGUGAUUUUUAGCAGUGACGUGUAAACCAAGAUAAAUGUAAAUAUUUAUAAAACUAGUAUGAAUUAAAAAAACUGAUGUACAACGUCUGUAUACGUUCACAAAAAUAUUAAUGUCUAAACGAAAGAUUAAAGAGAUGAGCUGGCGUGGCGUAGCGUUAUCAAGCAAAACUAUGUUAGAUUUUUUUAGAUUAGGUAUAUUUUGUAAUCGAUCAUAAUUGAGAAUCCUAAAAAAAUAGUGUGAGUACUAAUUAGAUAUGCUUGUGAUCAAAAUAUUUUUAAUAUGGACUUUUUGGCUCUUGGAUACAAGUCUGAACACAUUUAUGAGUAAAAUAGCCUAAUAGUGCUAAAUUUGAGUCCAUAUUUCGAUCAUUGAAUACAAGUCUAAACUCAUUUCCAAUCAAAACAGCCUAAAACUAUGCUAAACUUGAUCCGUUCGUUAAUUCGGUCAAAACGGUACAAAUACAUUAAAGUUUCAACAGCUUUCAUUCAUUUUAUUUAUCCCCUCUUGUUUAAUUUUAAUGAAAUUCUUGAAAAAAUUCGUGCAAUUAUCUACACCAUUAUUUGCCAGUUUUAUCUACCAGUACAAUAUACUAAUUUAAAAUUCAAAUGUUUUAUAAUACCUAUCUAUGAUAAUACAAAGGUAUUCAAUUUAUGUCAUAAUGUAUUCAAGUUCAACUGUAUAGGUAGGUACUUACCUAUGGUUAUUUAUUAAAAUUCCGAAAAUUCAACAUAAGUAAUGAAUCUAAAUAAAACCUAUCUAUGCGAUAAAUAAAAUUAUACCAACAUGAUAAAGUAUUAUUAAAAUUUAAAAAAUGAAACUAAGCUUGCGUCACGCCAGGAAUCUAUAUACGUAAUUUAAAAGGCUUUAGUGUGAAAAAUAUUCCAUGUUAGUCGAUAGCUUAACUUAUUCUUAGCUUACCUAAUAGUCACUUAAAAAUGACAAGAAUCAAAACUAGUUGUGCCCAGUAUACGAAUAGCUAAUUAAAUAAGUAAUAAUAUAAUUUAUUUUAAGAUACAGUAGUGGUAAUAUUUUUGGAUUCCUAUAAACAUAUACGUAAUUUGUCUCCUGUAAUUUAGUACUUACUAAUUGUCAAAAAUUUGGUCGUGAUUCUUUCGAUUUUUUUAUUGUCAACGAACGAAAGUGCCAAAUGCCAGUUUUGUAUUUUUAAUUAGUAAAAUUUUUAUAUGAUUCAGUACACAGUACUAUUUGAAACAGUUCCUUCAGUUUAUAUGCUGACGUUACAGUGUCAUAUUUUUAAAUCCUGUAUUGUUUUUAUAUUUCUUUUUUAUUUAAUUGUUUUUAUUUAAUUAUUAUUGUAUAAAAUGUCGGUCUAUGGCGUCAAUGUUUUUGUCCAUUGUGCAAUUAAAGAUGCGAUGAAAUGGUUCUUCAAUUAACCGUUUAACUCAUAGGUCCACUUGCACAAGGAUAGUUAACAACAGCUGAUUAAGCGUUUUAAGUUAAACUUGAUUUCAAAAAAGGCACAACAUUAAAAGAGAUAAUUAAAUCAGUUUAACUAUCCUCGUGCAAGUAGACUUAAGACUAUGUU